rnacentral:rRNA from 1 species
CACGUAGGGGGCGAGCGUUGUCCGGAUUCAUUGGGCGGAAAGGGCGCGCAGGCGGCUCGGAAAGUCGGGUGUGAAAUCUCCGAGCUUAACUCGGAAAGGUCAACUGAUACUGUGCGGCUAGAGUGCGGAAGGGGCAACUGGAAUUCCUGGUGUAGCGGUGAAAUGCGUAGAUAUCAGGAGGAACACCUGUGGUGUAGACAGCUUACUGGACCAUAACUGACGCUGAGGCACGAAAGCGUGGGUAGCAAACAGG